GCCUUCGUGAUGUAGUGGUCUGCAUUCUCGACGCGUAACCGAGAGGUCCGUGGUUCGAUUCCCGGCGAAGGCG
rnacentral:tRNA from 1 species